rnacentral:rRNA from 1 species
UACGUAGGUGGCGAGCGUUGUCCGGAUUUAUUGGGCGUAAAGCGCGCGCAGGCGGUCCGUUACGUCCGUUGUGAAAGCUCCCGGCUAAACUGGGAGAGGUCUUCGGAUACGGGCGGACUCGAGGAAGGUAGAGGAAGGUGGAAUUCCCGGUGUAGUGGUGAAAUGCGUAGAGAUCGGGAGGAACACCAGUGGCGAAGGCGGCCUUCUGGGCCUUUCCUGACGCUGAGGCGCGAAAGCGUGGGGAGCGAACCGGG